rnacentral:rRNA from 1 species
AUUGAACGCUGGCGGCAGGCCUAACACAUGCAAGUCGAGCGGAUGAAGGGGGCUUGCUCCUGGAUUCAGCGGCGGACGGGUGAGUAAUGCCUAGGAAUCUGCCUGGUAGUGGGGGAUAACGUCCGGAAACGGGCGCUAAUACCGCAUACGUCCUGAGGGAGAAAGUGGGGGAUCUUCGGACCUCACGCUAUCAGAUGAGCCUAGGUCGGAUUAGCUAGUUGGUGGGGUAAAGGCCUACCAAGGCGACGAUCCGUAACUGGUCUGAGAGGAUGAUCAGUCACACUGGAACUGAGACACGGUCCAGACUCCUACGGGAGGCAGCAGUGGGGAAUAUUGGACAAUGGGCGAAAGCCUGAUCCAGCCAUGCCGCGUGUGUGAAGAAGGUCUUCGGAUUGUAAAGCACUUUAAGUUGGGAGGAAGGGCAGUAAGUUAAUACCUUGCUGUUUUGACGUUACCAACAGAAUAGGCACCGGCUAACUUCGUG